rnacentral:misc_RNA from 1 species
AGUUGUUCUAGACAUGCUCUCGAAUCGGGCUCCCCGCAUAUUUGUGCGGCCAACUGUUUCGUAGCUUGUCUCUUGAGCGUCCCGCCCGAUGCACAUAUUUUGCUUGCCCGGUGCGAUUAAUGGGUUGUUGCCUGUGUUGCUACUUUUUUUUGGGAUGAUGUCUGUUUAUGACUACGGUGUGUCAUGUGGCCUUCGAUUAUGAUUUUGAAAAAACUUCUGCGGGCUAUUGAAACAUCGGCUUUGUUCGGGAGCGACCGAUGGGUCUCGACUCAUCCGCAGCUCGCGUCAUAUUAUAUGAGCAGCUCUUUCGGAUACGGUGGCUAAGUGGGUUCUUGUGGUCCUGUGUGGUCCGCAUGCGACCUCGUAGUACACACCUGGAACAGCUCCAUCUUUGCGUCCCUGUUUUUGCUCUCGUGCGGGAGCAAAGGCGGGGCGUAGGGAUGCGGAUGCUGGCAUAUGUGGGCGGUGUUGUACGUGUGGGAGUUCUAUGAUAUAAUAGUGAUUGCGUUGCGUGCAUGCUGGCAUACCGUCCGGAGUGCUUCAGCAGCUCGCACGCUCACUUUUUUGACUCGCUACCUGGUUGAUCCUGCCAGUAU